rnacentral:misc_RNA from 1 species
GAGUCGUAACAAGGUUUCCGUAGGUGAACCUGCGGAAGGAUCAUUAAAGAGUAAGGGUCUCCGGCCCGAACCUCCAACCCUUGCUUGUUAAAUACUACCUUGUUGCUUUGGCGGGACCGUUCGGUCUCGAGCGCACCGGUCUUCGGAUUGGUGAGCGCCCGCCAGAGUCCAACCAAACUCUUGUAUUAAACCAGUCGUCUGAGUAUAAAAUUUUAAUUUAAUUAAAA